rnacentral:rRNA from 1 species
AUUGAACGCUGGCGGCAUGCUUUACACAUGCAAGUCGAACGGUAACAGGCCUUCGGGUGCUGACGAGUGGCGUACGGGUGAGUAAUGCAUCGGAACGUGCCCAGAGGUGGGGGAUAACGCAGCGAAAGCUGUGCUAAUACCGCAUGUGAUCUGAGGAUGAAAGCGGGGGACCAGGCAGCAAUGUUUGGCCUCGCGCCUUUGGAGCGGCCGAUGUCAGAUUAGGUAGUUGGUGGGGUAAAGGCCUACCAAGCCGACGAUCUGUAGCUGGUCUGAGAGGACGACCAGCCACACUGGGACUGAGACACGGCCCAGACUCCUACGGGAGGCAGCAGUGGGGAAUUUUGGACAAUGGGCGCAAGCCUGAUCCAGCAAUGCCGCGUGCGGGAAGAAGGCCUUCGGGUUGUAAACCGCUUUUGUACGGAACGAAAAGGCUCUGGCUAAUACCUGGGGCUGAUGACGGUACCGGAAGAAUAAGCACCGGCUAACUACGUG